UACGUAGGCAGCGAGCGUUGUUCGGAGUUACUGGGCGUAAAGGGUGUGUAGGCGGUUAUUUAAGUUUGGUGUGAAAUCUCCCGGCUCAACCGGGAGGGUGCGCCGAAUACUGAAUGACUUGGAGUGCGGGAGAGGUGAGUGGAAUUCCUGGUGUAGCGGUGAAAUGCGUAGAUAUCAGGAGGAACACCGGUGGUGUAGACGGCUCACUGGACCGUAACUGACGCUGGAGACACGAAAGCGUGGGUAGCAAACAGG
rnacentral:rRNA from 1 species